rnacentral:rRNA from 1 species
AGUGAACGCUGGCGGUAGGCCUAACACAUGCAAGUCGAACGGCAGCACAGUAAGAGCUUGCUCUUACGGGUGGCGAGUGGCGGAAGGGUGAGGAAUAAACAGGAAUCUACUUUUUCGUGGGGGCUAACGAAGGGAAACUUAUGCUAAUACCGCACACGACAUACGGGUGAAAGCAGGGGAUCUUCGGACCUUGCGCGAUUGAAUGAGCCGAUGUCGGAUUAGCUAGUUGGCGGGGUAAAGGCACACCAAGGCGACGAUCAGUAGCUGGUCUGAGAGGAUGAUCAGCCACACUGGAACUGAGACACGGUCCAGACUCCUACGGGAGGCAGCAGUGGGGAAUAUUGGACAAUGGGCGCAAGCCUGAUCCAGCCAUACCGCGUGUGUGAAGAAGGCCUUCGGGUUGUAAAGCCCUUUUGUUGGGAAAGAAAAGCAGCAGGUUAAUACCCCGCUGUUCUGACGGUACCCAAAGAAUAAGCACCGGCUAACUUCGUG